GAGGAAUAUUGGUCAAUGGACGAAAGUCUGAACCAGCCAAGUAGCGUGCAGGAUGACGGCCCUAUGGGUUGUAAACUGCUUUUGUAUGGGGAUAAAGUCAAUCACGUGUGAUUGUUUGCAGGUACCAUACGAAUAAGGACCGGCUAAUUCCGUGCCAGCAGCCGCGGUAAUACGGAAGGUCCGGGCGUUAUCCGGAUUUAUUGGGUUUAAAGGGAGCGUAGGCCGGAGAUUAAGUGUGUUGUGAAAUGUAGACGCUCAACGUCUGACUUGCAGCGCAUACUGGUUUCCUUGAGUACGCACAACGUUGGCGGAAUUCGUCGUGUAGCGGUGAAAUGCUUAGAUAUGACGAAGAACUCCGAUUGCGAAGGCAGCUGACGGGAGCGCAACUGACGCUUAAGCUCGAAGGUGCGGGUAUCGAACAGGAUUAGAUACCCUGGUAGUCCGCACAGUAAACGAUGGAUGCCCGCUGUUGGUACCUGGUAUCAGCGGCUAAGCGAAAGCAUUAAGCAUCCCACCUGGGGAGUACGCCGGCAACGGUG
rnacentral:rRNA from 1 species